UACGUUGGGUGCGAGCGUUGUCCGGAAUUAUUGGGCGUAAAGAGCUUGUAGGCGGUUUGUCGCGUCUGCCGUGAAAAUCCGGGGCUCAACCCCGGACUUGCGGUGGGUACGGGCAGACUGGAGUUCGGCAGGGGAGACUGGAAUUCCUGGUGUAGCGGUGAAAUGCGCAGAUAUCAGGAGGAACACCGGUGGCGAAGGCGGGUCUCUGGGCCGAUACUGACGCUGAGGAGCGAAAGCGUGGGGAGCGAACAGG
rnacentral:rRNA from 1 species